rnacentral:rRNA from 1 species
CGCCUGGUAGCGGGGGAGUAACUAUUGGAAACGAUAGCUAAUACCGCAUAAUAUUGAUUAUUGCAUGAUAAUUGAUUGAAAGAUGCAACUGCAUCACUACCAGAUGGACCUGCGUUGUAUUAGCUAGUAGGUGAGGUAACGGCUCACCUAGGCGACGAUACAUAGCCGACCUGAGAGGGUGAUCGGCCACACUGGGACUGAGACACGGCCCAG